GUGCGGCUGCUAUACUGCAGUCGAACGCUUCUUUUUCCACCGGAGCUUGCUCCACCGGAAAAAGAGGAGUGGCGAACGGGUGAGUAACACGUGGGUAACCUGCCCAUCAGAAGGGGAUAACACUUGGAAACAGGUGCUAAUACCGUAUAACAAUCGAAACCGCAUGGUUUUGAUUUGAAAGGCGCUUUCGGGUGUCGCUGAUGGAUGGACCCGCGGUGCAUUAGCUAGUUGGUGAGGUAACGGCUCACCAAGGCCACGAUGCAUAGCCGACCUGAGAGGGUGAUCGGCCACAUUGGGACUGAGACACGGCCCAAACUCCUACGGGAGGCAGCAGUAGGGAAUCUUCGGCAAUGGACGAAAGUCUGACCGAGCAACGCCGCGUGAGUGAAGAAGGUUUUCGGAUCGUAAAACUCUGUUGUUAGAGAAGAACAAGGAUGAGAGUAACUGUUCAUCCCUUGACGGUAUCUAACCAGAAAGCCACGGCUAACUACGUGCCAGCAGCCGCGGUAAUACGUAGGUGGCAAGCGUUGUCCGGAUUUAUUGGGCGUAAAGCGAGCGCAGGCGGUUUCUUAAGUCUGAUGUGAAAGCCCCCGGCUCAACCGGGGAGGGUCAUUGGAAACUGGGAGACUUGAGUGCAGAAGAGGAGAGUGGAAUUCCAUGUGUAGCGGUGAAAUGCGUAGAUAUAUGGAGGAACACCAGUGGCGAAGGCGGCUCUCUGGUCUGUAACUGACGCUGAGGCUCGAAAGCGUGGGGAGCAAACAGGAUUAGAUACCCUGGUAGUCCACGCCGUAAACGAUGAGUGCUAAGUGUUGGAGGGUUUCCGCCCUUCAGUGCUGCAGCUAACGCAUUAAGCACUCCGCCUGGGGAGUACGACCGCAAGGUUGAAACUCAAAGGAAUUGACGGGGGCCCCCCAAGCGGUGGAACAUGUGGUUUAUUCUAAGCAACGCGAAGAACCUUACCAGGGCUUGAAAUCCUUUGACACCCUAAAAAAAAAAAUUCCCCUUCCGGGCAAAGAGA
rnacentral:rRNA from 1 species